AAUAGAUACCCGGGUAGUCCAUGCCGUAAACGUUGGGCACUAGGUGUGGGGCUCAUUCCACGAGUUCCGUACCGCAGCAAACGCAUUAAGUGCCCCGCCUGGGGAGUACGGCCGCAAGGCUAAAACUCAAAGGAAUUGACGGGGGCCCGCACAAGCGGCGGAGCAUGCGGAUUAAUUCGAUGCAACGCGAAGAACCUUACCAAGGCUUGACAUGCACGGGAAGCCACCAGAGAUGGUGGUCUCUUUGGACACUCGUGCACAGGUGGUGCAUGGUUGUCGUCAGCUCGUGUCGUGAGAUGUUGGGUUAAGUCCCGCAACGAGCGCAACCCUCGUCCCAUGUUGCCAGCGGGUUAUGCCGGGGACUCAUGGGAGACUGCCGGGGUCAACUCGGAGGAAGGUGGGGAUGACGUCAAAUCAUCAUGCCCCUUAUGUCUUGGGCUUCACGCAUGCUACAAUGGCCGGUACAAAGGGCUGCGAUACCGUAAGGUGGAGCGAAUCCCGAAAAAGCCGGUCUCAGUUCGGAUUGGGGUCUGAC
rnacentral:rRNA from 1 species